GAUGAACGCUAGCGGGAGGCCUAACACAUGCAAGCCGAGCGGUAUUGUUUCUUCGGAAGUGCGAGAGCGGCGUACGGGUGCGUAACACGUGUGCAACCUGCCUUUAUCUGGGGGAUAGCCUUUCGAAAGGAAGAUUAAUACUCCAUAAUAUAUUGAACGGCAUCGUUUAAUAUUGAAAGCUCCGGCGGAUAGAGAUGGGCACGCGCAAGAUUAGCUAGUUGGUGAGGUAACGGCUCACCAAGGCGAUGAUCUUUAGGGGGCCUGAGAGGGUGAUCCCCCACACUGGUACUGAGACACGGACCAGACUCCUACGGGAGGCAGCAGUGAGGAAUAUUGGUCAAUGGGUGCAAGCCUGAACCAGCCAUCCCGCGUGAAGGACGACUGCCCUAUGGGUUGUAAACUUCUUUUGUAUAGGGAUAAACCUACCCUCGAGAGGGUAGCUGAAGGUACUAUACGAAUAAGCACCGGCUAACUCCGUG
rnacentral:rRNA from 1 species